UGAUUACGUAGGAUAUCCGGCACGCCGAUAACUCAUGAUUAUAAAGACACUUAUCAAUUAUCAUACAUAAUUUUUUUCAGUUUUUAUUAUUUUUAUAACGAUUGGUCACAGGAAAUGGAUAUGCAACAACACGUAGCGUAUUUAUUUGACAUUGCCAAUAGUAAAAUGGACAAUACAUAAAUAUUAGCUUAACACGUUAGAGUAAAUUCAUUUUUCAUCGCGUUUCCGCAGUAAUUGUUGUGUAAAUGGACAAUUAUUUCACCUACUCAAACACUUACGUACUUUGAAACGGAGAAAAAGAUGCGUACCCCAUGGCAUUGUUGAUGACCGGAUAUAAACGACUGAAUAUCAAUGAGAGUACCUACACCUCGGGGACUUUUGGAGGGUGGUGGUCCAACCUGAUAUUUUAAAAUAAUAAAUAUAUUGAUAUAUGCUUGAAAU